rnacentral:rRNA from 1 species
UACGUAGGGUGCGAGCGUUAAUCGGAAUUACUGGGCGUAAAGAGCGCGCAGGCGGUCGAUCAAGUCGAGUGUGAAAUCCCCCGGCUCAACCGGGGAAUUGCGCCUGAUACUGGCGGGCUAGAGGUCGAUAGGGGUGAGCGGAACUCCAGGUGGAGCGGUGAAAUGCGUAGAUAUCUGGAGGAACACCGGUGGCGAAAGCGCUCAUCUGGCCCAAUACUGACGCUGAAGCACGAAAGCUAGGGGAGCAAACGGG